AAAAAAAAAAAAAAAACAACCAAACACAAAACAAACAAAAAAUUGUCUAAUCAUAUGAUUGACAAGAUAAGGAUGGAGGAAGCCCAUGAACCUUCCUGGUGAAUCAGAUGAGCAGAAAAAAAAUACUUACUAGAAAAAUAUCAAAAGGUCUUUUUGACACACAGAAAGAAAAGCUAGUAUGUAGUCAGAGUUUAGAUGCAAUCUUUCCAUGCAGUGCACCUAACAAAGACAUUAGAUUUGGCUGCUAUGUUUUCAAAUAUGGUUACUCAGCAAGAAAAAAAUUACCUAAAUUCUUUAGCCAAUGCAAAAGACAACUCAGUGUUUUAUUAAAAGCAACUGUAUGGGAUGGACAAUAUUUCAAAAAUAGCUGGAUUUUAAUUACACAUUUAUGAGGGGAACUUGAGAUGAAUAAAAUCUUCAAAUUGUAACAACUAUAAGCUCUUCUGCCCUCACUUGAGGCAUUUUGACUAAAAAAAAAAAGAGCUGUAUUAUUUUUGCUCUAAAACCGCUGUAUGUUAAGAGCUUAUGUUAGUAGUGAAAAACAUGCAAGUCGCUAGUUUUUAAAAUUAGCUUUUAUGAGCAAGCCACACAGCAGUCUCAGCAUCUCAUUGAGCAGCAAAAUACAGAUGUAAGUAAUGCUGAUGUUACAAAGCCUGGGAUUCAAAAAAAAACGAAAAA